UGCAAUAGUUCAAGUGUGCUUUACAUAUAUAUAUAUAGAUACUUCUGCUAUAAAGGCUCUUUAAACUCUCUCUCAUGUUAUAAUCUUUUUUUCUUUCAAGUGUUCCUUUGUCUUCUGAGUAGUUGAUACAUGGAUUCAGUUAGUCAUUUUUCAUUGGAACAUUCUAAUACACAAAUGAAUGAGGGUUGUUCAAAAAGUUUUGAUAUUAAUUCUUCCAAUCCUCCCCUAUCUACUGUCAUUGCUUCAUCAUCAAAACAACCCUCUCCAUCAAUAUUGAAGCCAAAUAAAGGUGAAUGAGAAAAACCAAUGAGGGCUCCAUCUAGAAAAAAAAAGUGAAAUUAAUUAAAAAGUUGCCGACCCCUAUCCCUUCGGAAUCAAAGUGGUCGUGUUAUUUAAGAAAGAAAGCUCUGGAUACCAAGAGAGGAAAGAUUUCUCCCUCUGAUGGAAAUGCAGAUGAAGCAGGGCCAUCCAAUGUGGCUUUAUGUGAACCUGGAGCAUUAACCAGUGAUUCUGAUGAUGCCGAUUCAGCUCAUGGGGAUUCAGAUGAGGAUUAUGUGGAUUAUUUACAAGAAGUGAUUCCUGAAAUUCCAGCAAACAUUCUUGCUUUGCUUCAGAUAGCUGAAAAAUAUAGACGUUCUUGAUUUUGGAGACCCAACCGGCCCUUGCUUUUACUUCGGAGCUUUUAUGUGGGAUUCUGAGAAAUCUGGGAAAAGAGAUUCUGACGGGGCUGCAGCUUUUUCACUGUGUUGUAUGAAGGGAAAAGUUGAUUUACCCUUAAUCCCUAAGCCGCCUCCUCUACUUCUUGACUUGAUAACAGAUAAAGAACCUAGGGCGCAGAAUUUCAAGAAGAAUAUAAGAGCGUAUAAUAGCAUGUUUGCCUUUACGACUAUGGGUGGGAAGAUUUUAACUGUUCUUAAUGACGGUGGAGCCCCCCCCCCAAUUUGUAUUAAGUGGACAGAACUAUCACCAAAUGGAUUCCUUAAUUCCACGUCAAGGGCAACAUCCUAAGUUUGCUUAGCUGUAUAUUUAUGAUACACAGAAUGAGAAUGCUAAUAGAGUAAGGAAUCUAAGCUCCAAUGGGAGAGGACAGGGUCUUGACCUUUCUUUAGUGGAAGAUCUUAAGCAGAUGAUUGACAGACACAAUGUCCUAGCCAGAAUAUUUAGCCAGGUUUGAGAAUGAUUGAAUUCUAUUGAUUCAACCCAAUUAUCUAUCUGACUUUUUAGAGCCCGAGGGAAAGAUCCUAGAACUUAUAAUAUGCCGUCAACGGAUGAGGUAGCAGCCUUGAUUGUUUGGGACAUUUGGGAGUCAGACGUUGGCAGAGAUGUUGUUGUCAAAAUGAAUGAUGGAUAUCUUUCAAACAUACAUGAAACUCAUACCGCUUUCAUUCCCUUGCACUAUCCGCUUCUAUUUCCUUACGGAGAAGAUGGCUUUCGUGAAGAUAUUCCCAUUAGUGAGAUUUUUAGAAACAUGGGAAGCUACAAAAGAUGGAAAUUUUAUAUGACGCAAUUCAUUGCAUUCCGCCUCCAAGACAGAAACUCUGAGUAUGGGAACAUUGUUUUUGCUAAGAGGUCGUUCCAACAGUUCGUCGUUGACGCAUAUAACAUGAUUGAAACAAACUGUCUUUCUUAUAUUCGAAUUAAUCAGAAAACUAUAAGAGCAGAUUAUUUAAAUGGGGUUGUAGAGGUAAUUGAGAAGGGAGAGGCAGACCCGUCAUCUAUAAGAAAGCGGAUUAUAUUGCCUCCUUCCUUUACAUGAGGCCGUCGUUACAUGUUUAAUAAUUGUCAGGAUGCCAUGUCAAUUUGCAAAAAGUUUGGGUACCCUGAUCUUUUUAUUACAGCAACAUGUAAUUCACAAUGGGGGGAAAUUCAAAGGUAUGUCUGUUGUAGGAAUUUGAGAGCAGAAGAUAGACCUGAUAUUUGUGUUAGAGUUUUCAAGAUGAAGCUCGAUAAUCUGAUGUCUGAUAUAAGGAAAGGCACUAUAUUUGGUCAUGUUGAUGCAAGUAUGUCAUUUAUUGUUUAUUUAUUUUUUUGGUAAUAUAUG